rnacentral:rRNA from 1 species
AUGGCAAUUGUCCAUACCUACGGGAAGCCUGACAUCUUCUUGACCAUGACCUGCAACCCUAACUGGGAAGAGAUAACGAAUGAGUUGUUUCCUGGUCAGACAGUGCAAGACCGACCUGAUCUUGUGGCUCGUGUGUUCCAUGGCAAGCUAGAGGCUAUGAAAGAGAUGUUGUUCAAGAAGAAUAUCCUGGGUGUUGUUGUCGCACAUGUAUACAUAGUCGAGUUCCAGAAGAGGGGCCUCCCCCACGCACACUUUUUGUUGGUCAUGGAUUCUGCCUAUAAACUUGUCAUUCUGGAGCAGUACGACCGACUCAUUUCUGCCGAGCUCCAAGACAAGAAGAAGUAUCCUGAACUCCACGCCUUGGUGGUGAAACAUAUGAUGCACGGACCAUGCGAUGCUCUCAACCCCAAAAAUGUGUGCAUGCAACAGAACGAGUGCAAGUGCAGAUACCCGCGGCCGUUCAAUGAAAACAUGGCACAGGGCAAGGACUCAUACCUAGUUUAUCGUCGUCGAGAUGAUGGUCGGCAGGCUAAGGUCCAGAGUAAAAUGUUGGACAACAGAUGGGUUGUGCCGUAUAACCCUUACCUUCUGCGGAUGUUCAAUUGCCACAUCAACGUUGAGGUUUGCUCCAGCAUAAAGGCCGUCAAAUUCCUUUACAAGUACAUAUACAAGGGCCAUGAUAGGGCUUCUUUCAGCAUCGGCCAGCCCAACGCCAAUGGUAACAUUGAUGAGAUCAAAAGAUACAUAGACGCGAGGUGGGUUACUCCUCCAGAGGUGAUGUGGAGGAUAUUUGGCUUCCCCUUGUGUGCCAAUGACGUGCCUGUCAUAUAG